rnacentral:rRNA from 1 species
CGUCUCAGUUCAGAUUGCAGGCUGCAACUCGCCUGCAUGAAGUCGGAAUUGCUAGUAAUCGCAGAUCAGCAUACUACGGUGAAUACGUUCCCGGGCCUUGUACACACCGCCCGUCAAACCAUGAGAGUUGGCAACACCCGAAGUCGGUAGUCUAACCGCAAGGAGGACGCCGCCGAAGGUGGGGUUGAUGAUUAGGGUUAAGUCGUAACAAGGUACC